UAGCCUAGCGGUUAAGGCUAUGGAUUGCCAAUCCGGAGACGGCGGGUUCGAUUCCCGU
rfam:Aedes albopictus isolate Foshan contig23587, whole genome shotgun sequence.